GCGCGGUGGCUUAGUGGUUAGCACGUUUGACUCACGCCUCCAGGGUUAGGGGUUCGAUUCCCACCGCAGCC